rnacentral:rRNA from 1 species
UCCGUAGGUGAACCUGCGGAAGGAUCACUAGAGAUUUCGCCCUCCGGGGCUCUCUUUUUCUUCACACACCCCUGUGCACUUUGGCUGCCGCUUCAUUGCGGUGGUCUUUUAUAAUUACCAUACCCAUAUACACAAGUCAUUGAAUGUAAAAUCGUUAUAAACUAAUAUAACUUUCAACAACGGAUCUCUUGGUUCUCGCAUCGAUGAAGAACGCAGCGAAUUGCGAUAAGUAAUGUGAAUUGCAGAAUUCAGUGAAUCAUCGAAUCUUUGAACGCAUCUUGCGCUCUUUGGUAUUCCGAAGAGCAUGCCUGUUUGAGUGUCAUGAAACUCUCACCUGCAGCACUCUUUUAUUAGAGGGCUGGAGCGUGGACGUGAGUGCUGCUGGUGCCCUCGCUGCAUCGGCUCACUUGAAAUUUAUUAGCUGAAUCCUCUAGUGUUGGUUCUACUCGACGUGAUAAGAUCUCCGUCGAGGACAGUGCUCCUUGUGGGCGUUGGCCACCGCUAGCUGUUGAUACGCUCCUAAUUAGCGCAGACUUCGAGUGCUGGCAACUUUUGACAACUUGGCCUCAAAUCAGGUAGGACUACCCACUGAACUUAAGCAUAUCAAUAAGCGGAGGA